CGGAGAUUAAGCGUGUUGUGAAAUGUAGACGCUCAACGUCUGCACUGCAGCGCGAACUGGUUUCCUUGAGUACGCACAAAGUGGGCGGAAUUCGUGGUGUAGCGGUGAAAUGCUUAGAUAUCACGAAGAACUCCGAUUGCGAAGGCAGCUCACUGGAGCGCAACUGACGCUGAAGCUCGAAAGUGCGGGUAUCGAACAGGAUUAGAUACCCUGGUAGUCCGCACGGUAAACGAUGGAUGCCCGCUGUUGGUCUGAAUAGGUCAGCGGCCAAGCGAAAGCAUUAAGCAUCCCACCUGGGGAGUACGCCGGCAACGGUGAAACUCAAAGGAAUUGACGGGGGCCCGCACAAGCGGAGGAACAUGUGGUUUAAUUCGAUGAUACGCGAGGAACCUUACCCGGGCUUGAAUUGCAGAGGAAGGAUUUGGAGACAAUGACGCCCUUCGGGGCCUCUGUGAAGGUGCUGCAUGGUUGUCGUCAGCUCGUGCCGUGAGGUGUCGGCUUAAGUGCCAUAACGAGCGCAACCCCUCUCCUUAGUUGCCAUCAGGUCAUGCUGGGCACUCUGGGGACACUGCCACCGUAAGGUGUGAGGAAGGUGGGGAUGACGUCAAAUCAGCACGGCCCUUACGUCCGGGGCUACACACGUGUUACAAUGGCAGGUACAGAGAGACGGUCCCUUGCAAAAGGGAUCAAAUCCUCAAAGCCUGUCUCAGUUCGGACUGGGGUCUGCAACCCGACCCCACGAAGCUG
rnacentral:rRNA from 1 species